GGGAGAUUUCCCGAGUGGCCAAAGGGGACAGACUGUAAAUCUGCUGGCACUGCCUUCGGUGGUUCGAAUCCACCAUCUCCCA
rnacentral:tRNA from 1 species